AGAGUCUUAUCCUGGCUCAGGAUGAACGCUGGCGGCGUGCUUAACACAUGCAAGUCGAACGAAGCAAUCUAACGGAAGUUUUCGGAUGGAAGCUAGAUUGACUGAGUGGCGGACGGGUGAGUAACGCGUGGGUAACCUGCCUCACACUGGGGGACAACAGUUAGAAAUGACUGCUAAUACCGCAUAAGACCACAGCACCGCAUGGUGCAGGGGUAAAAACUCCGGUGGUAUGAGAUGGACCCGCGUCUGAUUAGGUAGUUGGUGGGGUAACGGCCUACCAAGCCGACGAUCAGUAGCCGACCUGAGAGGGUGACCGGCCACAUUGGGACUGAGACACGGCCCAAACUCCUACGGGAGGCAGCAGUGGGGAAUAUUGCACAAUGGGGGAAACCCUGAUGCAGCGACGCCGCGUGAGCGAUGAAGUAUUUCGGUAUGUAAAGCUCUAUCAGCAGGGAAGAAAAUGACGGUACCAGACUAAGAAGCACCGGCUAAAUACGUGCCAGCAGCCGCGGUAAUACGUAUGGUGCAAGCGUUAUCCGGAUUUACUGAGCGUAAAGAGUGCGUAGGUGGCUUUACAAGUCAGAUGUGAAAUACCGCAGCUCAACUGCGGGGCUGCAUCUGAAACUGUAGAGCUAGAGUACAGGAGGGGAAAGCGGAAUUCCUAGUGGAGCGGUGAAAUGCGUAGAGAUUAGGAGGAACACCGGUGGCGAAGGCGGCUUUCUGGACUGCAACUGACACUGAGGCACGAAAGCGUGGGGAGCAAACAGGAUUAGAUACCCUGGUAGUCCACGCCGUAAACGAUGGAUACUAGGUGUGGGGCGGACCAGGUUCCGUGCCGCAGCUAACGCAAUAAGUAUCCCGCCUGGGGAGUACGGCCGCAGGGGUUGAAACUCAAAGGAAUUGACGGGGGCCCGCACAAGCAGCGGAGCAUGUGGUUUAAUUCGACGCAACGCGAAAAACCUUACCAGAACUUGACAUCCCGAUGAAAGAAAAUGGAGACAUAUUCCCUUUACUUCGGUAGACAUCGGAGACAGGUGGUGCAUGGUUGUCGUCAGCUCGUGUCGUGAGAUGUUGGGUUAAGUCCCGCAACGAGCGCAACCCUUAUUGCUAGUUACCAGCGGGUAAAGCCGGGGACUCUAGCGAGACUGCCGUGGAUAACACGGAGGAAGGUGGGGAUGACGUCAAAUCAUCAUGCCCCUUACGUUCUGGGCUACACACGUGCUACAAUGGUCUGAAACAAAGAGAAGCGAAGCCGUAAGGUGGAGCAAACCUCAAAAACCAGAUCCCAGUUCGGAUUGUGGGCUGAAACCCGCCCACAUGAAGCCGGAGUUGCUAGUAAUCGCGAAUCAGCAUGUCGCGGUGAAUGCGUUCCCGGGCCUUGUACACACCGCCCGUCA
rnacentral:rRNA from 1 species